rnacentral:rRNA from 1 species
GAUGAACGCUGGCGGCGUGCCUAAUACAUGCAAGUCGAGCGAACGGACGAGAAGCUUGCUUUUCUGAUGUUAGUGGCGGACGGGUGAGUAACACGUGGAUAACCUACCUAUAAGACUGGGAUAACUUCGGGAAACCGGCGCUAAUACCGGAUAAUAUUUUGCACCGCAUGGUUCAAAAGUGAAAGACGGUCUUGCUGUCACUUAUAGAUGGAUCCGCGCUGCAUUAGCUAGUUGGUAAGGUAACGGCUUACCAAGGCAACGAUGCAUAGCCGACCUGAGAGGGUGAUCGGCCACACUGGAACUGAGACGCGGUCCAGACUCCUACGGGAGGCAGCAGUAGGGAAUGUUCCGCAGUGGGCGAAAGCCUGACGGAGCAACGCCGCGUGAGUGAUGAAGGUCUUCGGAGCGUAAAACUCUGUUAUUAGGGAAGAACAGAUGUGUAAGUAACUGUGCACAGCGUGACGGUACCUAAUCAGAAAGCCACGGCUAACUACGUG